rnacentral:lncRNA from 1 species
UAGAAGUCAAUAAAAAAGCCGAGUCAAGCUCAAAAGAAUCAACUUCAAGCGACUACGUUCAAUUUUUUUAAUUUUAGUUUUAUUAUGUGAUGUACUUAUUCGGCCAUGUAUAAGAUAUGAUUAACUUAUUUAGUUUCAGUUUUAUUGUUUGAAGCACUUAUUCCACCAUGUAAAUGAUAUGGUUGUAAUGUUCUACAAAUUCAUGAGCAUAUUAUAAAAUUACUUGUAAAUGUACAAAGUAUGAACAAUCGAU